AUCGAACGCUGGCGGCAUGCUUUACACAUGCAAGUCGAACGGUAACAGCACUUCGGUGGCUGACGAGUGGCGAACGGGUGAGUAAUACAUCGGAACGUGCCUAGUAGUUGGGGAUAACUACUCGAAAGAGUAGCUAAUACCGCAUGAGAUCUAAGGAUGAAAGCAGGGGACCUUCGGGCCUUGCGCUACUAGAGCGGCUGAUGGCAGAUUAGGUAGUUGGUGGGAUAAAAGCUUACCAAGCCGACGAUCUGUAGCUGGUCUGAGAGGACGACCAGCCACACUGGGACUGAGACACGGCCCAGACUCCUACGGGAGGCAGCAGUGGGGAAUUUUGGACAAUGGGCGCAAGCCUGAUCCAGCAAUGCGGCGUGCAGGAUGAAGGCCUUCGGGUUGUAAACUGCUUUUGUACGGAACGAAAAGCCCUCUUCUAAUACAGGAGGGUCAUGACGGUACCGUAAGAAUAAGCACCGGCUAACUACGUG
rnacentral:rRNA from 1 species